GAUGAACGCUGGCGGCGUGCCUAAUACAUGCAAGUCGAGCGAACAGACGAGGAGCUUGCUCCUCGGACGUUAGCGGCGGACGGGUGAGUAACACGUGGAUAACCUACCUAUAAGACUGGUAUAACUUCGGGAAACCGGAGCUAAUACCGGAUAAUAUAUUGAACCGCAUGGUUCAAUGGUGAAAGACGGUUUUGCUGUCACUUAUAGAUGGUUCCGCGCCGCAUUAGGUAGUUGGUAAGGUAACGGCCUUCCACGGCGACGAUGCGUAACCGACCUGCGAGGCGGAUAGCCCACACUGGAGGUGAGACACGGUCCAGACGACUACGGGAGGCCGCAGUAGGGAAUCUGCCGCAAUGGGCGAAAGCCUGACGGAGCAACGCCGCGUGAGUGAUGAAGGUCUUCGGAUCGUAAAACUCUGUUAUUAGGGAAGAACAAAUGUGUAAGUAACUAUGCACGUCUUGACGGUACCUAAUCAGAAAGCAACGGCUAACUACGUG
rnacentral:rRNA from 1 species